UUCAUCUCAAAGCCUAACCAGUGGCGGAGCCAAGCCCCGGCCAGGCUGGGCAACUGCCCAGGCUCUUCCUCGUAUCCUCACUUUCAUCACACCAUAUACAACCCAACAUAAUCUCAUGUCGCAUCACCGCUUCCUCCAUGUCUCAGCCACUCAUGACGUCGGUCAGUCCCUCCACGAGUCGACACCGAAAUCUGCACAUCACCGCCACUGGUUUGUGGUUUAUCUGUCGAAUUGUUAAUGUCGUUUCCACCAUUUUGCAACUUGCACACUAAGUGUUCGCUGUUCCAAAGAAGGGCUCUGUAUUUGCAUUCCGAUUUGGUUGGUGAAAAGUCACUCUGCAUGGAGAUAAACUCAAUUCAAGAAAGGUUGGGUUAUGAUUAUAGUGGUUCUAACCACUACAAUUGAUAAACUUGUGAUUACGGUAAUUUAGAAAAGUAGACCAAGAUCAACUUUUUAACUCAAGGUGAUUCACAUUAAGGAGAGGUUAGCCGAGUUGGUCUUGAGUCGUUGUCGCUCUGAUACGUAGCACUCGGGGGGACGAACGAGUUGAUUUACUUGCUUUUGGAUUAUUAUGUUUUGGCAAAUACUUGAGUUGUUUAUUUGAGAUUGUCACUUUAAAGUGUGUUAAUUGUUGAAUUAAGAUGCUAUGAAUCCUUGAACUAAUUGUUGAGUUUCCGUUGCACUUCUAUGGAAGUUGAUUUAUGUUAAAGACUAUCAUUUGAUGUUUCGGUUCUCCCGUAUUUUGUGAAUGCUAUGUAUCUGCUUUAUGCGACGAGGUGAUUUGCUUUUGAAAAUGAAUAUGUGAUACCUCAAUUAUUUGUUUGUGAAUUUUUAUACUCUAAUUUUAUUUAAAUUCUAUGGGUAGAAUUGGGGUGUUACAGAUGUGCUUACCAAUCCACUGCCUGCUCCCUCCUUCACUUCAUUGGUUUCCAAACUUGGCCUAUUAGAUAUCCAUAGUCCAG